GGAUGUGAGGGUGAUCUGGCUAAGACAUCUGUCACCCCAUUGAUUGCCAGGGUUGACUCGGUUGUUCUGGUUGGCUAGGCAGGUGUCCCUCACCACUCCAUGUGCGUCCCUCCCAAAACUGCACACCCAGUGGAAGAGGAUGACCAUCCCAGAUAGAAGAAGCGUACCGUUCUUCUUGUAAU